rnacentral:rRNA from 1 species
GCGCGAAGACUGCACAAUGCUGGAAACAGCGAUGCGGGGACUCCAAGUGCCGGCACUAAGUGCCGGCUGUUCCAUUGUCUAAAAAACAUAGGAAGUAAGGGCUGGGUAAGACGGGUGCCAGCCGCCGCGGUAAUACCUGCAGCCCGAGUGGUGGCCGUUAUUAUUGGGCCUAAAACGUCCGUAGCCGGCUGAGUAGAUGCCUGUGUAAAUCGAACGGCUCAACCGUUCGAAGUGCGGGUAGACCGCUCAGCUUGGGACCGGGAGAGUCACGAAGUACUCCGGGGGUAGAGGUGAAAUUCUGUAAUCCUCGGGGGACUACCGGUGGCGAAGGCGUCGUGAUAGAACGGCUCCGACGGUGAGGGACGAAGCCCUGGGGCGCAAACCGGAUUAGAUACCCGCGUAGUCC